rnacentral:tRNA from 1 species
CGGGGCGUAGCGCAGUCCGGUAGCGCACCUGCUUCGGGAGCAGGGGGUCGCUGGUUCAAAUCCAGUCGCCCCGACCA